rnacentral:tRNA from 1 species
GACUCAGUGGUCCAACGGUAAGGCGCUCGUCGUGAAGCCAGAGGGUCUUGGGUUUGAUCCCCAACAGGGUCG